rnacentral:tRNA from 1 species
CAGGGAGACAACAAAAUGUUUAAUAUUAUUAUUUUGUCACCUUAGGUCGAUCGGUAUCUCACGUUUUUAAUUUAUUAAGAAUUUCAUUUCCUAAGUUUUUCUAGGUCACACCCAUUAUUUUUCCUGGGCCAUUAGCUCAGGUGGUUAGAGCGCACCCCUGAUAAGGGUGAGGUCCCUGGUUCAAGUCCAGGAUGGCCCAUAUCUCUAUGUUGGGGGUAUAGCUCAGUUGGUAGAGCGCCUGCUUUGCAAGCAGGAUGUCAGCGGUUCGAGUCCGCUUACCUCCACUGAUCACCACCUCUUGCAUAAUCGGUAGAAAGGAAAUUUUUUGAGUUGUGAUCAAAUUCUGAAAGAAUCUAGCUUCCUAAUGAAAUCAUUAAGAUGCUGGACUCAUUGAAUUAAUUUCAUUGUUUUCAGAGAACCUUGACAACUGCAUAGAUUAUUUUUAAAGACAAUAAGCAUCUUUAAUGAUGCAGAUUUAUUAUUUGUGCAAAUGCAUUAAUAACAAUUCUAUUAAGCUGAUGCUUCAAUAUUUGAAGUUAUU